rnacentral:rRNA from 1 species
CACGUAGGGUGCGAGCGUUGUCCGGAAUUAUUGGGCGUAAAGGGCGCGUAGGCGGCUCGGUAAGUAGGGGGUGAAAUCCUGCGGCUUAACCGCAGGGCUGCCUUCUAAACUGUCGAGCUCGAACACGGUAGAGGCAGAUGGAAUUCCCGGUGUAGCGGUGGAAUGCGUAGAGAUCGGGAAGAACAUCAGUGGCGAAGGCGGUCUGCUGGGCCGUUGCUGACGCUGAGGGACGAAAGCUAGGGGAGCGAAUGGG